rnacentral:lncRNA from 10 species
UGGGGGUGGAUUUCUCAUGAACGGUAUAGCACCAUCCUCUUGGCGCUGUUCUCAUGAGAUCUGCUCAUUUCAAAGUGUGUGGCACCUCCUCCCUCACUUUGUCUUGCUCCUGAUUCGUCGUGUAACAUGCCUGCUUCUUAUUUGCCUUCCACCAUGAUUGAAAACUUCCUGAGGCCUCCUCAGAAGCAGAUGCUGCUAUGCUUCCCGUACAGCCUGAAGAACCAAACAUUUCUAUACAUUUAUGAGACCCAACUCCAAAAGCAUACUGGAAUGGAAUUAAAGACCGAACUACAGAAGCUAAAGAGAGCUGAUCAAACUAAAAAAAAAAGUUAAAGGUGAGGAGGCCAAGGCUCAGAAGAGUCACUUGCCCAUGAUCACUGCUCUUAUAGCGCCAACUCAGAGCUCAGGCAAUGCUCAUGUUCUUUCCACUGUGCCUCAUCGCUCAUGUCUGACUCUUCUAGAAAUGUGGGCAAAUCCCCUGCCUUCUGUGGGUCUCAGAUUUCCAUAAAAAAUAAAAUCAAUGGAUCAACUUAAUUAGACAUCUUGAGUCUAAAAUUCUUAGCUCCAAAACAGAGGAUGGUGAUGAGUAUAUGCAAAUGCGGCAAUAUUUCAGCAACACACAUGGGCUUCAGAAUAAAUAUCAAGAUCUUCCUACAUGUUAAUAACACUGAAAUUUUGUUACCCAGAAAAUAUAAUGGGUUUUUCUUAUCUUGAGUUUUUUAGAUUUCUGAAAAUUUUAGUCUUGGAAUUUAUUCCUUGCUUUAUAUCAAAUGUUUCUGUGUCAACUCCUCC